AGUGCGUUAGUUCAGUUUUGGUUAGAAUACUUGACUGUCACUCAAGUGGUCGCCGGUUCGAGUCCGGUACGCACUG
rnacentral:tRNA from 1 species